rnacentral:lncRNA from 1 species
CACUGUUAUGUAAUAAGUGUACUUUAGUUAUCUUGACUACUUUUCUGUAGUCUCACUGCCUUACGCUCUGAAUAAUUGUAGUGGGUUUGUCCCACGAUUGCGCAUUCUUUCACUGUUUAGUUCUAAUUAGUUUCAAGUUUAUUCACUUUUUGCAUCACUUACCUUUAUGGUUACGUCACCUCACGGUGAUGGCCAUCAUGCUUUGACCUCUCUAGGUUUGGGUGUGUCAGCUUGGUAUCAAAGCAUAGGUUUAGACAGUCCUGCACUUCCUAUUGUGUUUUAACUCUUGUUUUCUUAUGUCAGAACCAUGCCACCUCGUAAAGAGCCACGUUAUCCAGCUGAGAAUAACUUUCCGGACUUUGGGCAGUUUGGUGAGGCUAUCGCCAAUGUUAUUCAGUCUUCAC